GACGAACGCUGGCGGCGUGCUUAACACAUGCAAGUCGAGCGGUAAGGCCCUUCGGGGUACACGAGCGGCGAACGGGUGAGUAACACGUGAGCAACCUGCCCCUGACUCUGGGAUAAGCGGUGGAAACGCCGUCUAAUACCGGAUACGACCCGCCACCUCAUGGUGGAGGGUGGAAAGUUUUAUCGGUCAGGGAUGGGCUCGCGGCCUAUCAGCUUGUUGGUGGGGUAACGGCCUACCAAGGCGAUUACGGGUAGCCGGCCUGAGAGGGCGACCGGCCACACUGGGACUGAGACACGGCCCAGACUCCUGUGGGAGGCAACAGUGGGGAAUAUUGCACAAUGGGCGAAAGCCUGAUGCAGCGACGCCGCGUGGGGGAUGACGGCCUUCGGGUUGUAAACCUCUUUUACCACCAACGCAGGCUCCACGUUCUCGUGGGGUUGACGGUAGGUGGGGAAUAAGGACCGGCUAACUACGUGCCAGCAGCCGCAGUAACAC
rnacentral:rRNA from 1 species